AAAUCCUUUUCACCUACCAAUCCAUAAAGGCAACAACCACUACACCUACACAAAAUCAAUUACUCGUGCAAGUUUUCUCUCAAAUCUCAAACCAAUUCCAUCUUCCAAACACUCUAUCUGUUAACAAAUGGCUAAAUCAACAGACAACUCAUACAUGGAGGGGGAUGUGAUUCCAGAAUACUGCUCUUACAUGGAUGAGGACGACGCUCCGGAGUUCUUCACAGUAUUAAUCAUUGAAGAACAAUCGAAGAUGAUCUUUCCAAGAAGCUUCCAAACACAAUAUUCAGUUAAGCUCGGACCAAUUUGCACACUUGAAGACAAAUCCAGCAAAAAAAUUUGGGAAACAAAAGUCAAAACACUUUCAGAUGGAAGAAUAUGCUUGAAACAUGGUUGGGAGCAAUUCCACAAGGAUCACAACUUGAGAGCUGGAGACUUCUUGACUUUCCAUAUGAUUUCACCCAAUCAUUUCUUUGUGAAAAUGUAUGAUGCUACGGGAUGUGCUAAGGAAAUCCAACAACAAUCGGGUUCAUUUGGCCAAGAAACCGACGACGCAUCGUCUUCACAACCUAUUGCUUCACCUUCUUUCAAAUCAGCCAUGACAAUAUCAAACUGAAAAAGUCUUCUCAUAUCAAUCCAUUUUUGGAGGACACAUGUGAUAGACAAAGAUAUUGAAGUGGCAGUUUUGUAAUUCCAAGGGAAAACAUGGCAAACAAUAUUGAAGAAGGCUGAAGAUAGGGUGAGAAUCUCCACAGGAUGGUCAAGUUUCUACAAAGAAUGCUCUUUGUGUGAUGGAAUGCAAUUGAAGUUUGAGAUGAUAAGCAGCACCCCUACCAUCAAAUUCAAAGUUACUGUGGCCGAGGGGAUAAUUUGCUCGGAGCGGAGUAAAACCCGUGCAAAUACUUUAAGUGAGAACUGAGCUAGCCAGGUUGAACGUCAAGAGGAAGGAGUAUUGAUCGGAGCCGAUGUUAUUAAUUAAUCAAGUGGAUCUUUCGACGAUUCGUGUCUUCAUACACGAAGUCGUUUAGUAAGGAAUUACUCCGCUGUACUUUUGUUAAAUGGGAAUUUCAAAGUCUGACCAUCGAACUCUGAUUUAGUUGAUGAGAUGAUUAUUCUAUUUGUGAGACCAUGUAAUUGAAUAAUUGGCUUCUAUUUCAUGGUAUCAAUCGAUUUGGCCUUUUCGGCAAGUUCCUUGAGUUCUACCAAUUUUCUUUAUCUGUUUCUUUAAUCCCUCUUAUUAUUCGCGGAUUAGCCGUUUUCGCUAUCCUUAGCAAAAUGUAGUCGUGACAGGGUGGUAUCAGAGCCUCAGUUUCUUUCCUGCUCUGAGAUCCAAACAUUUCUUCAGUCAAGAUCUAGACUUGUUCACUAGAUCAUUCCAAGUAAUCGACUCGAUCAUCACUCCAAGACGUUCAACCAAUCAAUUUUUUUUUUAUAUUUGAAUUGCCUUCUCUAUUACUUUUCAAAUUUGAAUUAAAAAAUGCACUAAUUAUAUUUUAUGGUUCCAAAAAUGUAAAAAAUUUAUACAUAAAUCAUUAAUAUAUGAUCACAAUCUUAUGCAUGUCCCACGUAGUAAGAAUGCGCCCAUAAGCUUUAAUUUAAUGAAUAAAUAAACCAUUUUUUAAGUGACUCGGGCCUUUUAAAUAAAACCCCGUGUUCACUCAACUGUGGCUGACAAAUUUAAAUGGAACUUAUAU